CUAGUACUCCCUCCGUUCCUAAAUAUUUGUCUUGGAUUUGUCUAGAUACCGAUGUAUCUAGACUCAUUUUAGUGCUAGAUACAUCCAUAUCUAGACAAAUCUAAGACAAGUAGUUCGAAACGGAGGGAGUAUAUC
rfam:Triticum aestivum genome assembly, contig: Triticum_aestivum_CS42_TGACv1_scaffold_129719_2BL